AGAAACCGCUUCGAGAACUUUGGUUGAAAAGUGGUAUAUAAAUAUACAUCGUAGUCGAUUCAGGCACUGAAAAUGGGGUUAGACUAGAAGACAUCGAAGGUCCCUUCCAGCUCUGACACCUGAUGCUUCUGUAAGGGUCAUUCUGUUCCACUGGAUAUCUUACUGUACAGAUUUUGAAGAGUGAGAAUCCCUGGUUUUGAAAUCCGCAGAUAUGUUCCCAACAGCUUUCCUGCAACAGGGGUUGCUUUUCACCAGAAGCUUUCCCAGAUAGCUGGCUUUACUGAGGGUUUGUGGCAUAUUGGAUAUUCUAAUGCAAAAGACGCGAAGAUUUGGAAAUGAACUCAAAAGAAGAAUUGGCCGGGAUGGAAAUGAGCACAUCUGCUUCCCAGAUGCACGGAUUGUGGCCACUUCGCUCCCUUGCUCCCAGCCUUAAUGGUCCUCCCCAUCCCACCCUUUGCUGAAGAUUUCUGCAAGAUGAAGGAUCCACUGCCAUCUGCAAUGUCAUUAGUAUCUCUUCUCCCUCUGGGCCAUGAAUAACAAAUCACAUUGAGCCUGCAUCUGGUCGAUCACUGGAGAUAUACAAGCCAAGUCCCAUUCAAGGAAGAACCUCCUUGUGGCAGGCUCUGUGAAGGAUCAUGGCUCACAGAAGAACAAGGUGGCCUGAACAUUUAUCGGAUAUGAGCUAGCUUUGGUGGUUGCUACCAUCCUGGAGACGGACACUCAUUGUGAUUUAUGACAAGAUCUACUCGUGUAGAGAUGGAAAAGAGGAGAUCGCAUUGCAAGACUUUCAGCUGUCCGUGUGUUCUCAUGCCUGACCUUCAAGCAUGUAGCGGCCACAUUUCCAAUGGUGCUUUCAAAGCUUUUUAAAAGUUUUUCACACCCCCAAAUUACUGCAGUCUAAAGCUUUUUCAGUGUCAUCCGAGGAACAGAAGGGCUUUAAGAAG